rnacentral:rRNA from 1 species
GACGACGCUGGCGGCGGGCCUAAUACAUGCAAGUAGAACGAGUUGCGAACGGGUGAGUAACGCGUGGUAACCUGCCUCAUAGCGGGGGAUAACUAUUGGAAACGAUAGCUAAUACCGCAUACCUUCAGAUGUGCCCAGAUGGGAUUAGCGAGUAGGGGGGGUAAGGGCUCACCUAGGCGACGAUCCCUAGCUGGUCUGAGAGGAUGACCAGCCACACUGGAACUGAGACACGGUCCAGACUCCUACGGGAGGCAGCAGUGGGGAAUAUUGCACAAUGGGCGCAAGCCUGAUGCAGCCAUGCCGCGUGUAUGAAGAAGGCCUUCGGGUUGUAAAGCACUUUCAGCGAGGAGGCGUUACUCGCAGAAGAAGCACCGGCUAACUCCGUGCCAGCAGCCGCGGUAAUAC